CAGUAGCCGCGGUAAAACCAGCAGCCCAAGUGGUGGUCGCGAUUAUUGGGCCUAAAGCGCUCGUAGCCGGGCCGGUAAGUCCCUUGUGAAAUCGGACGGCCUAACCGUUCGGCGUGCAAGGGAUACUGUCGGUCUUGAGGCCGGGAGACGUCCGAGGUACUCCGGGGGUAGCGGUGAAAUGUUCUGAUCCUCGGGGGACCACCGGUGGCGAAGGCGGCCCCCUGGACGAAGACUGACGCUCAGGUACGAAAGCGUGGGGAGCAAACAGGAUUAGAGACCCCCGUAGUCCCUGUCUCUUAUU
rnacentral:rRNA from 1 species